rnacentral:ribozyme from 1 species
ACCAAUAAAACGAAUAAAAAGUAAAUAAAAAAAUCAAUAAAAUAUGAAUGUAAGUGACUAUCUUAUUAUUCUCUUUAUUAUUUCCUUCCUCCUCAACUUUUUUUUUAUAUACCGCGCGUGUUUUUUUCCUCUCUCUU